CUGCUCACUCCAGCAGCACAUAUACUAAAAUUAGAAAGAUACAGAAGAUUAGUAUGGUCCCUACACAAGGAGGACAGGAAAAUUCAUGAAGUGUUACAUACUUUU
rnacentral:snRNA from 1 species